GGGGGUGUAGCUCAGUGGUAGAGCAUUUUACUGCAGAUUAAGAGGUCUCUAGUUCAACUGCUAGUGACCCUGA